rnacentral:rRNA from 1 species
UACGUAGGGUGCGAGCGUUGUCCGGAAUUAUUGGGCGUAAAGAGCUCGUAGGCGGUUUGUUGCGUCGGCUGUGAAAUCCCGAGGCUCAACCUCGGGUCUGCAGUCGAUACGAGCAAACUAGAGUGUUGCAGGGGAGACUGGAAUUCCUGGUGUAGCGGUGAAAUGCGCAGAUAUCAGGAGGAACACCGGUGGCGAAGGCGGCUUCCUGGACCGACACUGACGCUGAGGCGCGGAAAGCUAGGGGAGCAAACGGG